UUUCUUCCUGCACUUUCUUCAUCCUCCUCCAUCACCAACGAUGUAUCAAAUCUAAGCUCUCUAGCCCCUGAAAUCAAAACCAUAACCCUCUCUCAAUAUUUCAUUCUAUUCUUCUUCUUUUUUCGGUCCAAUAAGGCAUCAUAUGCUCAAGAUUCCUCCUCACAGACACUCUAAUCUCAAGCGACUUACCUCCCGCAUCGUUCAACUCAUUCGUUGAAGAUAGCUCCAACAAAUUUGUUGGGAAAUUGACGUUGCCAAGAGACAAUAUGCCAAGCUGAACCCAACUGAUAUGAUGCAGUGAUGGAGGCCUGUGUUUGCUGCUACGAUAUUAAUUCAGUUCUUCGAAUAUUUUGUGAAAUGUUGAAGCCGGAAAGUUGUGGCGUUGAUGGGAUCACAUAUGGUACACUAUUGAAGGGUUUGGGAGAUGCUCGAAGAAUCAAUGAAGCAUUUCAAAUACUUGGUCCCUGGAACAAGUGUAGGAGAUAUAUGGGUUAAUUAGCGUAAGAGUGUGCCGUGAGAACGAAAAUACGGAAAAAGGGUUGAUAAUCCAAAUUUUACCGAAACGGAGUGGGGAGAAAAUAGAGACGCUGGACGCUAUCAACGAUGGCGUGCAGGGAGCCACGAAGCCCGGACACCAGUCAAAGAAGCGUGCAGCAGGACGCUAGUGACAGAAGUGUCCAAAUGCGGGACGCCAGUAAUAGAAGCGUCCAAAUGUGGGAAGCUAUCAAUGACAGCGUGCAGCAGAGAUUCUCUACAGAGGCUCGGUAAUGCAGUCUCGUCGCCUGCGUCGCGUGCCCGUGGCGUCCCGUCGCAUCCCGUCAAGGCAGAAUGAACAGAUGACGCUUCUCAAACUAGCAUCCCAAGCUCCCACUCAACCUCGAUUUAAACACCACCAACUGCCUCUCUCGUCUCUCUCAUUCGUCCCUCUCUUUUACUCCCUUUCUUCUCCCAUGUUCAAGCUGCUUCUCCCUUCUCGCGGAACUGCUUGUUGAAGCAGGUGGUGGAGGUUUUCGGUGGACCAAGAAAUUUUGUUGUGCUUGCAUCCCUGGUACGUAUUUUAGUUUUUUAAGGAAAUAGAUAUAUAUUAUAUUUAAAUAUUUGAGUGUUUCAUAUAUUUAUAUUUGUAGAAAAUUGAUGAAAUAUUUGUUAAAUAUGCAUGCAUUUAUACGUAGUUGUUGAGUAAUAUUUUACAAAU